rnacentral:rRNA from 1 species
UGGGGAAUUUUGGACAAUGGGCGCAUGCCUGAUCCAGCCAUGCCGCGUACAGGAUGAAGGCCUUCGGGUUGUAAACUGCUUUUGUACGGAACGAAAAGGUGCCUUCUAAUAAAGGGCGCUCAUGACGGUACCGUAAGAAUAAGCACCGGCUAACUACGUGCCAGCAGCCGCGGUAAUACGUAGGGUGCGAGCGUUAAUCGGAAUUACUGGGCGUAAAGCGUGCGCAGGCGGUUUUGUAAGACAGAGGUGAAAUCCCCGGGCUCAACCUGGGAACUGCCUUUGUGACUGCAAGGCUGGAGUGCGGCAGAGGGGGAUGGAAUUCCGCGUGUAGCAGUGAAAUGCGUAGAUAUGCGGAGGAACACCGAUGGCGAAGGCAAUCCCCUGGGCCUGCACUGACGCUCAUGCACGAAAGCGUGGGGAGCAAACA